rnacentral:tRNA from 1 species
ACGCUCUUAGUUCAGGGGUAGAACGUAGGUUUCCAAAACCUAAUGUCGUGGGUUCAAUUCCUACAGGGCGUG